GUGCUUGCUUGGGCAGCACGUAUACUAAAAUUGGAAUGAUUCAGAGAUGAUUGGCAUGGCCCCUGGGCAAGGAUGACACGCACAUUCAUGAAGCGUUCCAUAUUUGU